GUAUGUUUGGCUGUUUUUAAGACCAUGACCUAAGACUCCCCUUUGAGAAGUCCACACUCACUCUUUGGUGUCUCAGUAUGUAACCUCAGCUGGCUUCAAACUCAAAUCUACUUGCUUUGGUUUUCCAAGAACUGAGAUUACAGGAUACUCCAACCAGCAGGAUGGACCGCAAGCAGAGCCUGGCAGUAGAAAAGCUGCAAGUGCCUGGAUGCCACGUGUUCCAUCUCUUUCAGAUAGCCUUGACUCAUGCAUCCUGUCUGGGCUGAUGUUGGUUUUCUGAUUGCAGAGUGUCUGGAAUGUCCUCAAAUGUACAAGGCACCUUCCAAGGGUCAGUCCUUGUGUAGAGUAGCAAUUUGUGCUUUCCUGGGCUUUUCUGUCACUCUCUGAUUCUACUCAGGAGUCUGAAUAAAGCUGGUUUUCAGUAGGAA